UACGUAGGCAGCAAGCGUUGUUCGGAAUUACUGGGCGUAAAGAGUGUGUAGGCGGUGCUCUAAGUUCGGUGUGAAAUCUCCCGGCUUAACUGGGAGGGUGCGCCGGAAACUGGAGUGCUCGAGCGUGGGAGAGGAAAGCGGAAUUUCUGGUGUAGCGGUGAAAUGCGUAGAUAUCAGGAGGAACACCUGCGGUGUAGACGGCUUUCUGGACCAUUGCUGACGCUGAGACACGAAAGCGUGGGUAGCAAACAGG
rnacentral:rRNA from 1 species